UACAUCAAUGCUCAUCCAACUUUCACCAUUAUUGGUGUCUACCUUAUAUGAAAGUUGUAAGAGUAUUUUCAAGAACACAUUAUAAAUCAAAAUUAAUACAAUCAAGAUAAUUCUUUCAACAUUUUAAUACAUCUCUUCAUUUAUCCGAAUUCUUCAUGGUGUCUGAUAGUAGUUCAUCAUUCAAUUUUUUCUCCUAUAUUAUUUCAGUUUAUGUUGGAAGCAUUUUCUUGAUGUUGUUGGUGGUCUAAACGUUAUGGCAAUAAUUAAAGCUAUUACAACAUGCUUGAAUUAUCAAAUCAAUUGGGCAUGUAAUAUUCAAAAUGACAUGAACGUAAAAGUAAAAAAUUAUCGCUCCAAUCUGGCAUGUUUUCGCUCAAAUCAAGGUAUGUAGGUGAGUUAUUCUUACUAUUUUAUUGUUAUAUAAAUAUUUUGAGUUAUGUUAUAAAUUAUUGAAUAAAAAAAAUUAUAAUUUGUAUACCAAACAUCAUACACUUGAGUUGGCCAAAAUACUUUUGUUAAAUCCUUGUGUAUUAUCAUUAACCGAAGUCAAAAUGCAUGGUCACCAAAAUGCUUGAAACGUCAAUUUGUUUGAUCUAAAUUCAUGUAUAUGUAGAAAAGUAUAAAUUGUAACUCAGAAUUAUUAAAAUUUUGAAUUGGGAAUUGAUAAGCCGAUUUAUUUUAAAAUAUUAAAGAUUAAAUGCAAUGAAACAACUAUUUUUCAGUUUUUUUAAAAAUUAAUGAUCAUGUGAUAAUUUACAAAAUGUUUGAAAUGUGAGUUUGAUUGAUUUAAAUUCAUGUAAAUAUAGGAAAGUAUAAAUUCUAAUUCAGAAUUAUUUAAAUUUUGAAUUGAGAAUUGAGAAGUUAAUUAGAUUUAAAGGUUAAAGUUUAAAUGCAACUGGAUAACUAUUUUUUAUCUUUUUUUUUUUUUUCUAAUUAAUGAUCUUGUAAAUGUUUACAAAAUUCAUUAAAUUUAAAUUCAAUUUCUCUAAUUAAUGAUCCUGUAUAUAAUUACAAAAUUUAUUAAAUUCAAAUUCAAUUUCAAUUAAAAGUAAAUUUUUUACAUUUAACCAGAAAGUCCAAAAAAAAAAAGAAAGAAAAAAAAAAUAGGAACCAAUCAAGUUGUUUGUAUUAAAAAUGAUAAAUUUAUUAAUUAUGGUAAAUGUUAAAAUAAUUUAAACAAAUAUUACUCCUUCUGAAUUUGAUGUUUAUUGGAUUUUUUAUAAUAAAAAAUUUAAAAAGACAGAAAAAAGUAUCCCAAUCCGUCACCCAUAUUCCCCACUUCACACAGAUAAAGCAAAAUAUUAAAAAAUCUAAAUAAUUUACAUAAAUUUAAAAAUUAUGGAACGAUUAUUUAUAAACUGUAAAAGAAUUUUUUGGGUCUUUAUCUAUUCAUAAUUUUUUGUUUUAUUUUUUUGUGAUUUAGCUUUUCUCUUCUUUCUUAGAAGAAGGCUUUGAAGCAGUUGGAAAGCCACUAUUUAUGAGACUUGCGUAUGCCUUAUGUAUAUUGCAAUUCUUUGGAAAAAAAAAGAUUUUGAAUGCAUGAAAGUUAUUAUGCUAUUUAAUUGUCAGAAAAAUUAAUACGACUAUUAAAGUAGAUAUUAUAUUAACUUGAUGCUAGAUGAUCGUGUUGGUAGAAAACACAAACCAUAAAUCUCUACAUUCAUUUUGUCAAUUAAAAUCUUAGGAUAUUAUUUACAUAUAGUCAAGAUGCAUAUAUUUUUUGUCAUUUUGAUCUUCAAGUGAACACUUAAUCGCAAUAAAUGUAUAUGAAAUUUGUAAGAAAUAGUCAUAUUUGAUAGCUUUGUGCAAUUAUGAUAUGAUUAAUUAUUUUAUUUUUCAAGAGUAUUAUUGAUUCAUUAACAAAUUUAAAUAUUUACGUUACAUAAAUCAAGUUUGCAUAUAAAUAAUUUGUUUAUUCUAUAAAGUAGAUAUCACCGCAAAUUAGUUCUGCAUUAAAGAAGUUUUUUAUUUAUGCCUAUGCAUUAAAGAGGAACAUGAACUUAAUUAUACUGAAGUUUGUGGUCAAUUUUAUUUUCCUUAUUAAUCAACAUUAUCUUUAAUAAUCUUAAUAUAAUUCGAUUCACUGGGUUUCAACGAGUCGAUGCAAGAAAUCAAUCAGAGUCAACUGCUCUCUAUCUUCACUUUAUAACGAAGGAUGACGUAUAAAAUAAUUAAAAAAACUUUAGGAAAAAUAAAAACUUUUGUAGACAUAUUUAUGUGUUAUCCAAUUUUCUUUGUUUUUUUUUAAUUAUGUAUUUAGUAUUCUUUUUAUUUGAAUAAAUUUAUGCUUUCAUCUAGGCAUGUAAGAAACUUCAGAAAUACAAAAACAUUGCUUCUGUCGUUUGAAUAGUAGUAGUAGUUUUACAUAGUUGUUUACUAUUUUUUAUCAAAAGAUAGUCUUUUUUAUAAAAGUUUUUUUAAAAAAAUUAAUUUUAAAACUUUAUGAGAUUAUUAAAAUAUUGAAAAAAAUAUUGAUAUACUUUAUGGUAAAUUAUUAAAAUAAUCCUUUAUAAACAGUUUAAACAAACUAAAAAUAACAAAUCAGUUUUAGAUUUGAUAUUAUUUAUUAUAUACGAUGUAAAAUAGUAAACAACUAAAACUAACUAAAAUAUUAUAUUAUAAUAGAGAAAAAUGUAAAUAAAAUGGGAGAUAGUAAUAAUGUGAGGAUAUUCUACUUGAGUUAAUUUUAAAAUUUUAAUUAAUUAAAUAAUUAAUAUAUAAUUGAACAAUAUAACAGAAGCAUAAAUAAUAGAUCAAGAGUAGCAAAUUCUAUAUCAAUCUUAAAUUUAAAUGAGAGUGGUGAUAAUAAUGAUAUUAAAGACACCUAACAAGCUAAUGAAGUCACAGUUAGUAAACUAAUUAAAAAAUAGACGAAAAACUGCAAUAAAGACAAAAUAGUAAAAUAAUUUAUAUAAUUUGUAUUAUUUUCUCCAUUACUUUGAUAAAAAUGUUCUUUUCUGUUUCAGAAUAAAAAAUAAAUAUAUCGUGGAGAAAACAUAAUAUGCAUUCAAUUCUAAUUUGUUUCUCUAUAAUUAUUUAUAAUUUUGUUAUAUUUGAAAUAUCUUUUGCAGAGAAUGUUGAUCUACUAAAUUGCGAAUUGUUGAGAAGUACAAGGACUUCAAACAAGGGCAAUUGCGCUAAAAGUGACAAAAGAGUUUCAAAAUGAGGUGUAGGUAACUCAAGUUUUAAUAACUAAGUGUAGGUGACAAUUACUUUAUUAUGGAUUAAGAAAGUUGGGGAAGUUUGAGAGUAACCCGCAAGUUUUUAAAUUUACACUUUGAUUCAAAUGUUAACCAAAUAUAAUAGAAAACGGGAGGAAAAAUGUCACCACCCGAGGCUACCCCUUAGUCGCGACAACGGUGCUUACGGUCACAAGUGACCACAAGCUAACCCAUGAGCUGGUACCUGCUGUAACCACUGAGUAAACUGAUAAUAAACAACAUAUGCG
rnacentral:lncRNA from 1 species